GCCCCGGUGGCCCAACACGGUAGCUAGGCGGCGGACUUAAAAUCCGUUUCAGUGUGGGUUCGAAUCCCACCCGGGGUA
rnacentral:tRNA from 1 species